rnacentral:rRNA from 1 species
AUUGAACGCUGGCGGCAGGCCUAACACAUGCAAGUCGAGCGGAUGAAGGGAGCUUGCUCCUGGAUUCAGCGGCGGACGGGUGGGUAAUGCCUAGGAAUCUGCCCGGUAGUGGGGGAUAACGUCCGGAAACGGGCGCUAAUACCGCAUACGUCCUGAGGGAGAAAGUGGGGGAUCUUCGGACCUCACGCUAUCAGAUGACCCUAGGUCGGAUUAGCUAGUUGGUGGGGUAAAGGCCUACCAAGGCGACGAUCCGUAACUGGUCUGAGAGGAUGAUCAGUCACACUGGAACUGAGACACGGUCCAGACUCCUACGGGAGGCAGCAGUGGGGAAUAUUGGACAAUGGGCGAAAGCCUGAUCCAGCCAUGCCGCGUGUGUGAAGAAGGUCUUCGGAUUGUAAAGCACUUUAAGUUGGGAGGAAGGGCAGUAAGUUAAUACCUUGCUGUUUUGACGUUACCAACAGAAUAAGCACCGGCUAACUUCGUG